ACUAUUUUGGCAGAAAAGUGCCAUGAAUUUAGAAUUCAUAAAUAUAGGUCAAUCCUAUAGAUAGUAC
rnacentral:tRNA from 1 species